GUGGGUAAACUCUGUUUUCUGGUCUUUUGGUCAGCGGUGGGAAACAUUCAUAGUGAUUUAAGAAAAGAUCAACAGGCUAGAUAAGAAUUUGUUAUCUUCCAGAUGGCAGGUUCCAAAAGCAGAGAAGAGUGCGGCUUCUGUCAGGUGUGGGCCAGGAAUUACCAAGAAAUUUAACUCCGUUCCAAAAAUGUUAACCAUAUUGUUCACGCUCAGCAGCGAGGGGGCCUGUAGCUGCUGCGAGAUUAACCUUCUGACCCCAACAAGAGUUUAGACCAGCCUGUCAAAAGCAUUAUGCUUGAAGGCAGUAAUCAUUCUUUAUUAGAAGAACAGUGGCUUUGCCUUGGUUCCUGCUGCCUACCUAUGGAUCGCGUUUCAGUUGCAGGUCCACCUUUAGGAAAUGGCGUCUAGUUUAAUUAUUAACAACUGUGGAUUCCUAAAGGCUAUGCACAGACACUGCUCCAGGCCGGUCUAAUUCACUCUUAAAAAGCAAAAAGCAGCCCAUUGUGAAAAUGUACUGAUCUGGUCUAACAGCGAUUUUUCCUAGGGCUGCUAAGGAGGUGAUAGUAACCUAUUUCAGAGCAGGUAAAUAUUUUCAAUAAUGGAAUUGGGAAAAGUUUUGAUUUAUAUUUUCAAGCAAACGUAAGAGCUGAGGUUUUAGAAUGGCUGCACAUCUCUGCAUGGCCACUGCUCUUGGAUCAGGCUAUUGAUCUAUCCUGUGGAAGUUGCUGCUCUUAAGAAAGCAGCAGUGAAAUUGUUGCAGCCUUGGUGGUCCGGAGAAGCGCUUUGAGAGAGCAGUAACAGCCCCUACAGCUGUAAAAUGGGAGCAAGCUUUUGGGCCUGGAAGCACUUCAAUGGGAUUGCACAGUCAUCGGCUGAUGCCAGGGCUCAGCUUCCACAGCUUGGUUGAUCUCUGGCUGCACCAUCAUGUCUCCCAAGACAAGUUAUGGUCGUAAUCGUUUUCCAGAAUUGAAGAGGAUGCAAUAUUUUUGAUCUAACAAGAGCUCUGAAGCUGGAUUUACAUUACCAAACUGUGGCCUGGAUUCUUCCUGGGUCUCUGGAUAACCUGAGACACAGCUCUAGUAAGUCCCUUUCACCUGUAGUUUGGUGCCUUUAAACCACAUUGGCUGUGACUGAAUACCGCUGCUGUCCCUCUCCUCCUGACACUUCUCUUCAUCCAGUUGCUCCUCAGUUGAGUGGUCUUUGCAGGCUGCCUUCCCCAGGAAAGAAUCAUUCCUGAGCUGUAAGAGCCCAGCCCUGGCUAUGUGCAGUGGUACACAGAUGUUCUACAACAUGCCUGGAAGCAGUCCAGCAAUAUUCGCACAUCACUGGAUUUAACAGUUUCAGAUGUCUCCACAUCAUGUUCCCCAUCAUGUCUGAAUCUGUUCCCAUGGGAAGGCAGACACCCCAGACAGAAAGGCCAGGCAGGAUGGAAGGAAAGCCUGUCAUCUGGAACCUUCCUCCCCCAGGCACCUGCAGUGCCCCAAGGACAAGGUCUCAAGGACUGUUCCUCUUCGAGCACAGGCAGAGAGCAGUCUCCAGCUGCCAGUUCUGCUCUCCAUCUCCUUCAGCUUUCUGAUGAGCACUGUUUCCCAGUGAUUGUGACGGCCCACAAGAACUUUCAGCUGUUGGUCCUUCAGGUCACCGUGGGCUUUUUGUCUGUCCGUGGCUGUGAGAACAGCUCCUGCAAUUUGGAAUUGACCAACCUGUGCAGCCUACCCCGGGGCUGAGCUGCUGGCUGCAGCAGAGGAUGGGUUUGUGCUGCAAGGAGCAGUGCUCAGCGGAAGCCCAUCUGGUGCAAGGUUUUCAAGCUGCUUUGCUCAGCCACUUGAGUGUGCCACUCCAUUCCCAGCACUUCUCUGCAUGGAGAGACUGGGCUGGGCAUUGCAGAGAUGUUUUCUUCAUGAGAAGGACUUUCCCGAGACACUGCAGCUGGUGGAAGGGCUGAGUAAAGGUGGUAAUGCCACUAGUUCUGGGAGACGUAUUGCUUCACUCUGUCAGUGAGUGUAAAUCCACCACUGCUAUGAACAUUGCACAAGCACAUCCCUUCUUGGAAAAUAAAAGUCCG
ensembl:lncRNA